CAGGAAAAAAGGAGAUCAGGGAAGUUGAAGUGACGCAAUGACAUCCACGUGUACAAGGUCAGAGGCCAGUCUCACAGCGUCCUGCAUAUCCUUGACUUUCUAAGGACCUUUAAGUGCACUGCAGUAACCUCAGUCAAUCUCGAGGAAGCCAUCCAGGAGGUGACUGUACACCAGCUUUGCGGUUUUGCUUCAUGCUCCCUUUGUGGGUUGUGGAUCAGAGAACACAGGCAUGCCACCUUGAUGAAGAACAGCGAUGCAAGGCACCAAGGACCCUGUAGAAAUUCCUCCACUGGCAAGUGAGAGUCUGUCAAGAUGAUACCAGUCGACAUUAUCUUCUGUCUCUACUCCAUAUCUACCCUGCAUUUGAGUUAGUGUGUACUACUUGCUGCUCAACAAAGCAGAGUGGCGCUCAGAUCUUUUUAUGAUUUGUGAUUUUGCUCAUGGGCAUUCCUUGACCUGGAAUGCCCCUUCUUUCCAUUUGCACGUCAGAAAUUUUAUUCAUAAUUUGAUCAUCUCAACCAAAUAGUUUCUGUUCCUUCUGUAGGAUUGCCUCCUCUUUUGAGUCCCUACAUUAGCACUUAAUUUAUGUUUCAAUUAAGGCCUUCGCCUUGCCUUGCCCCACCUGUCGUCGCUGCAGCACAGACAUUGCCCACGUUAGGUAUCUGCACACGUCACUGAAAUUGGCAGACUGCUUUCUCCUGCAUUAGGUUUGAACUGUCCACCUGCAUGGCCUGGAAAUUUCCCAUGAUGACAAGAGGCUAGAGUUCAGGGGCCGCUGAUCAUCAGCGAUCCCGUCCACUUUAACUUUAAAGUGAAAAUUACUUUUCUGACCUCAGGGAAAAGCCAUAUUUCAUCUCUAAGGUGUUAUGACCUUACCUUGUCCCCAUACAAAUUGCUUUUAGGACCAGCAUGUUUUUUUAGACAAAACGCACCUUAAAACAUCCAAAAUUUUCUAGAUUUCUAAAGAGAAAACAUUCUCAUAUUUUCAAAUCUUCUUGAAACGUCUAUGAUAUCAGCCUUGCAUUUCCAUCUAGCAAUUAUUAUUAUAUUAG
rnacentral:lncRNA from 1 species